rnacentral:tRNA from 1 species
GGGGUUGUGGCUCAAUGGCAGAGCGCUUGCCUUGCAAGUAUGAGGUGCUGGGUUUUAUCCUCAUCACCA